rnacentral:lncRNA from 1 species
CGCCGCCCGGGAGUUCCGGGGCUCCAAGGCCAAAACCAACUUCCCUCUCCCCAACGAAGUCCUCCCCUUCCCCAACACCGACAACCUCACCCGCAGCCCCAGCCCCAGCAGCACCGUCGAGUCCUCCAGCCCCCACGCGCCUCUCGAGCUCGACCUCACGCGCCGCCUAGGAAGCAGCGACGGUGGCUUUCCGUUCCAUUACCAGCCGCACGUUGUGAAUUCCGCUGCUGUGGCAGGCGUUUGGC